GACGUAGGAGGCGAGCGUUGUCCGGAUUCAUUGGGCGUAAAGAGCACGCAGGCGGUUUGGCAAGUCGGAUGUGAAAACCCGGAGCUCAACUCCGGACCUGCAUCCGAAACUGCCCGACUAGAGGUAGGUAGGGGAGAUCGGAAUUCCUGGUGAGCGGUGAAAUGCGCAGAUAUCUGGAGGAAUACCGGUGGCGAAGGCGGCAUCCUGGACCGACAUUGACGCUGAUGGAGCGAAAGCGUGGGGAGCAAACAGG
rnacentral:rRNA from 1 species